GGUGGACACAAUCUAAUUGGCUUCCAGGAUGGCCAGAAUAAAAGCAGGCAGAAGAACAUGGAAAGACAAGACUAGCUAAGUCUUCUGGCCUUCAUCUUUCUCCCAUGCUUGAUGCUUCCGGUCCUCAAAUAUCAGACUCCAAGUUCUUCACCGUUUGGACUCUUGGACUUAUACCAGUGGUUUGCCAAGGGCUCUCUGGCUUUUGGCCACACACUGAAGACUGCACUGUUGGCUUCCCUACUUCUGAGGUUUUGGGACUCAGACUGGCUUCCUUGCUCCUCAGCUUGCAGAUGGCCUAUUGUGGGACUUCACCUUGUGAUCAUGUGAGUCAAUUCCCCUAAUAAACUCCCCUUCAUAUAUGCAUGUAUCCUAUUAGUUUUGUCCCUCUAGAGAACCCUGACUAAUACAUUCAUAAACACUUUAGCACAGAUCAGAGGGUCUGCCCUAAGACACCACUGCUCUGAUAUUUACACUACACCACUAUGGGAACCAAGAGGAGUGACUAUAUCCAUUUGGGGCAGUUGGCAUAGCAUUCCCAGAGAAAGUAAUAUUUCUGGGUUAUAAGCAGAGGUCUGCCAAGAUGGACAAGUGGGAAGAAGAGCAUUCCAGCUGAAGAGAAUGGAACACACAAAAACACAGAAAAAGGAAGGUUAAGGGCAAGUUGAAGGAUGGAGAAACAGGUUGGAUAGCCGGAGCCAAGGGUAGAGGAGGCAAGACCUGCAGUAAGUAGGAAUCCUCAGGCCAGGAGAAGCACCUAAGAGUAUUAAGGGAGAUAGACCAUGAUCACCUUUAUCUUUUUGAUUCAGCAAAUACUUACUGAGAGCUUACAAUGAAGGUAGGAAACCAACCUAGUCACUUGGGGGAUAUUACAAUGACAACCACUAAAUACAUGUGCAUAUUUAAAUUUAAAUUAAUUAAAAUUAAAUUUUAAUUUCCCAGUCACACUAGCCACAUUUCAAAUGCUCAGUAGUCACAUGUGGCUAGUGGCUCUCACACUGGUUAGUGCAGGUAUCGAACAUUUGUAUCACUGCAGAAAGUUCUAUUGGAUGGUGACAAUCUAAUCACAGGAGGGGAUAGCUAUUCACCUUCCAUCUAAUUUUUCAUUUUAUGUGGCUAUUUCCUUUUUAGUCUUUUUAAAAAGUUACUUCUUCUGCCUGUCCCUUUUAGUCAGAAGAAUCUGAGGAUUCUUUUGAUGGCACAGUGGGGCGGCUGCACAAGCACCUGCAUUGGGCAAUCAGAUCAUAGUAGUGGUUGUCAAAAGAUUGCAAAAGGGAUUGCAGAAAUCCCUUUGAAAAUGCACGUGGUCUUUUAUGUAUUGGAUGAGCGAGAUAUGCUCACACCUGCCUAGAGAAUCCAAGUAGUGGGGUCUGCCUGCCUCAAUCUGUUCACCUUAUUCAUUCUGAAUGUGUGUAGCUCAAAGCAUGUCCUCCCAAAGCAAAAGAAUAUUUACAAAAGAGACACAAACUGAAUUCCUCACCUGGCACUCUGUCAUUUCCAGUGCCACACAAAUGAAAGUAAACCAGCCACUAGCAACAGUCAUUUCCGAAAUCCAGUGGGAAAUUUAAAACUCAUGAUUUUAUAUAUUUUACAUAAUAAAUUCAUAGGAACUGGAAUUUUAUUUGAAGAGUUGUUUCCUUCUGCUUCUUCAUCUUCCAUUUGAUUACAAGAACCAACCAACCAACCAACCAACCAAGUUUUUACUGAUAUCCUAGAAUAAAUCUAUCAAACAGAAACACUGAGCUGUGUUUAAUCAGUGUCACUGCAGAGAAAUUUAAACUUAACACAGUACAAAUCAUAAUAAUUAUGCAUUUAAAUACUAAAUUCACCCUAAAGAGGCAAUUUAGUAUUUAACUGAGAAAAGAACAAGUGUCUCUUUAUUCCUGGUAUGGUACACCUUUCAGGUUUCAAACAAAUACCACCCACUUUAUAAAAGCUCUCCUCGUUAUCAUAAUAACAAGAGGAAUUAUAAGAGAGGAAAAAUGCUAUUUUUAAAAAUAAAAUUUCAACUUUUAUUGACCGUGAUGCCUGUAUCAACAGCUUAACCCAGUCUGCUUUAUAUGACUUUUAGUAGCCAAAUAAAGUAUAAUAUUUUUUAAAAGCUUGUAAACACUAGUAGACCAGUUCUUAAAGGCCUGGAACAGCUACAUGAACCAGAAGCUACAUAGAAAAGAGAUUGUAUUUUUUCUAAGGCAGAGAAGGUGUCAUUGCAAUCAAUAAGAUGUCUUUUACAGUUUUUCUUCUUUUGGUGUGUGUGUGUGUGUGUGUGUGUGUGUGUGUGUGUGUGUGUGUGUGUGUGUGUGUUUAGGGCUUGGUUAAUUCUAUUGCCCUUGCACCUGCAAGCAAAAGGGUACAGAAUAUUCCCACUCUCCUUUUUCUCUAAUUCUACAAGACUGAGGAAGGAACAGCGACCAAGCUCUUAAAGUUUUCCAGCUGCUUAUAGAGAGGUGGGUUGUGUUCCACAUUUUACUCUUACAGCCCUGCCACCAGAUGAAAGGAAAAGCAUAAAAGCAUCAGCAAAGCCUGGACUCUGCUUUUCCUGCUCUAACAUGCCAUCAAAUAGAGACAGAGCACUCGACUGAUGUAGGCAUUCUGUUGUUCGUAUUUGCCGAGUUCAGCUAAGAAUGUCUGAGAUCAACAGGUGGCCUUGCUAAUGGAACAGAUUCACUCAUUGUUUGUGUGUUUAAUGAAUCAUUGAGUUACUGAUCAACAGUGAGCAAUGGAAGCUGUUCAAACAGAAAGGAAGCCCAGCCGUGAGGUGGUGCUGCCAACACACUCCUUUGAAGCUCGGCUGGCCCCUGUGGGGAGUGCAGGAGGCUGGGGGUCUACUCCCUACGGUUCCCAGAGAAAUGGUAGCAAGAAGACGGUGUUAUUUCUAAUUGGAUGAUGAAAGUCAGCCUAGGGGACAGAGACCAAAGGGCCAUACGUAAGAAGAGGAGGAAGUGAAAACAUCUGAAUCAAAGGUUGAGGUAAAACUGAGAGACAGUGUUUGCAGUGAACCAUGCAGUAACCUUCAUCUUGCCCCCUGGUCUUCAGGAAACAAGCAAGUGGGGAAGGACCGAAAGAGGGUACUAAAUUUCCAAAUGAUCAGACGUGAAGUUUCAUGGCCCAUAAUGGCUACACAUUUGAAGACUCAAGCAAAUAAAUUAGAAAUAAAGCCUACCAGCAAACCAAAAGAUAAUUACAUGUAAAAGCAAGUCUCCUUGAUUUCUGAUACUUGCACUUAUGAGAAUGAGAAAACAACGAUAGCACAGAGAGAUGGUGGACAUGGAGGACAGGUCCUGUAGGCUCACUUCAUGGGCUUUUUCAUACCCUGACCACUUUCCACGCUGGAUUCAUUUUACUGUAGUGAAACAAUUGGCUGUAGAUAAUGUUAAAAGAUAGGACUUUGGUAACAGGAGAAUUCAUGGAUUCUUGAAAUUCCUGAAUGGAACUGGCUCUCCAGAAGCUACUUGCAGCUCAAAAGAGAAAGAGAGAGAGAAAGCAAGCCAGAGAAACAUUUGAGGUCAUAUAACACUUUGUCUCCAAUGUUCUCAAGGCCUCCCUCUGUGCACAGACCUCACUUUGAAAUUACCACCUGUCACAGGCCUAGCAAAUCCCCUCACCAGAGACCAUGUCUAAUUCUUUGUUUUAAAGGGCACUCGAUGGUUUUCUCCAGAGAAGUCAUCAUCAUCAGUGGCAGCAACAUCCUACUUUAUUUACACAGCUUAGCAUAGGACCAUCCCCACAAUAUAACAAGAAAGAUUUGACCCUGUGGGCUUUUUCCUGUUCUAAAUUUUCUCCUUUUGCUUGGACAAAAGGUCCAUCAUUUCUGAGAAAAAAAAAGGGAGGAUGGGGCUGGGUAAGGAGACUGCCACAGUAACAGCGUAAUGCUAUUAGUCUGAAUUCUCCCAUGACGGAGCCCUCGCUGGGAAAGACAAUUACAGGCAAAAGGGUGAUAACCUCACGAGGCAAUAACCUCCUGAGAGAUCCUGUGCCACAUGUACAGGUUAUUAAUUUCAGGGAAGGAGCCAAACUUCAGGGGCCCUCUCAGAACCGACUCUUUCAAGGUUUGCCCAUCUCUAAUGAGCUGGGUCUUUUUUGCGAUUGUCUAACCACACGAUUUCCUUAAUUCUUAGCUGGUUGCAUAAUGGCAAAGAUAAAUGUGGCUUUUUCCAGCUGCUUCUAAAAUAGGUUCAAGGUUGAAUUAAUAUGAAUGGAAAUACUUUCUGUUCAUGUAAAGGGUUGGAAGAAACCGUAUGUGUGGGAUUUGCUGAUACCUGCUAAAAUGUACACUGUGUGUCCUACAUGGAGGACACAAGACGGGCAGAGGUGGAAUAAUGACUUAUAGGAGCCCCAAAGUCCUAAGACGGUGAAAUUCCACCAAAUUUAUUCCAUUUCAGCAGGAGCUAGAAUAUUCCAAAAUUCAAAAAAAUGGACUUAGUUAUAAAGGAAUCUUUUCAGAAGUCUUGACUCUCAUCACAUACUCAAUGUUAAUUACCAUUUGUGUGUAGAACGGUGUGAAUUAAAACUAAAGAAACAAACAAAAAACUUGCCUUGUUAUUCUGCCAAAGGACCCCAUAAUCUAAUGAGGGAGAAGUGGCACCUGCAGACCAAAGAACACACAAGAUUUCGAAGGUGGUUAUUCCAAGUGAAAACACACAACUGAAAAAGUCCAUGAGGACUGAGUGGAAAUUGACAAGAACAAGGGGAGUUCAUCAGGAACAACUUUUCCAGGAAAACUUGAGGUUCAGAUUUGAGAGGAUAAUAUGGCUGGAUGAAUAGGAGAAAAUAAGCUACUCCAGAGGAAAUGAAGGAAGUUAAGACAUGGAAUCACAAUCCAUUUCACCUCUUUGUUCUUUUCUUUUAACCUUAACUGCAACCUUCCCCAUAGUAAGCAGAGGAAGAGUAGAUAUUGUUUCUGUGGUUAAGUUACAGAAAGUGUGUUGCUUGCUAGGUACUGCAAAGUAUUUUUCUGUUAGUGACAAGCAAAUCAUAUCAAAUUGUUCAAACUCAAUUUCAACUCUUAUAAGAGGAUAGACAUGGGUUUUGAGGAAAUGGUUAUCAUUUGCCUUGUUAUUACCUCAUCUUUGAGCCCCAACAUGUGCCUUUACUACUUAUCCCAGUGAUUCUUUCAAAAAAUUAUUUAAUAAAUCAAAAUAUUCCAUAAGUCAAAAUAUCUUCAGGUUGCGGAUUUACCUUUGACUUUCAUCUUAACCAAUUGUUUAAAAUUCCCCCAUUCUCCUCUCAUCUAUUGUGUAUAAAUUCAGAUUAAAAUGUAGUUAAAUUCAUUAAUGCUCAUUAUUUAUGUGUCUAAGACUGAUACUAAUAAUGACAACCAUGUAUUCGACACUUUCCAAACUGCAGGCCGUAGGCUCAGUCCUUUGUUUUGUUAGUUUAUUUAAUCCUUAUAACAAGACUAACCAGUGCUUCCAAAAUCCCAAUGGAUAUUAAUCUUUGGGAAUUGAAAACAAAAAAAAUUAGAAUCCCCAGAAAAUCUUAGAAAUUUCUGAAAUCAUAAGUUAUUCUGUAUUUUACUAGUAUUUACCAAGAGAGAAGUAAUAUUUAAUAUUUUAGUUGUUUAGCUUUUUUUGGUUUAGUGGGGUUUUUUUUGUGGGUUGGUGGGAUUGUUUUGUUUUGUUGGCUUGUUUUUAUUUUUUAAUAUUUUAUAGUAUUUACAAAGAUGUGGUUUAUAGUUAAUAUUCAAAAAUUAGAAAAUGCCUGCAAAAAUUAUGAGAUAAUGCUAACAAACCUAACAUUUGGACUCCCUAGCAAGAUUAACAACACUACACGAACUGAUAUGUCAAAAUUGCUAAUUUAAGGACUUAUUUUCUUCCAAAUGUGUUAUUUCUUGAAACACCGUUCAUAGGAUUUGUAUAAAGUAUACGAUGCAUAUGAACUUAUAGACAUUUAUUUUAUUUAUAAGAAUGACUCACCCUUAGUCACAGAGAAGAUCACAAACAAGCUCUUAUAACACGGUUAGUUGGUUUUCUAUUACUACAUAACAAAUUACCACAAAUUUAGCAGCUUUAAACAACACAAACAUAUUAUUUCAUGUUUCUGUAGGUCAAGAUCCACAGGGCCAAAAUCUAAAAGUGUCAGCUGAGACUGCAGUUCUCACUGGGAGCUUGGGGUCCUCUCCAAGUUCACUGGAUGCUGGAAGAAUUCAUUUCCUCGAGGCUGCAGGACUUAGAUCCACAUUUUCCUGCUAGCUGCUGGCUGGGAACCACUCUCAGCAACCAAAGGCUGUCCACAGUUUCUUGUCAUGUGGUCCCAUCAGGCAGUUCACACUCGAUAUUUUUCUUUCUUCCAGGCCAGCUGGAGUAUGGCUCUCCGCCUUCCUUUCCAGCACCAGUCAGAAAAAACUCAGGUUUUAAAGGGCUCAGGUGAUAGGUCAGGCCCACCUACCUAAUCUCCCUGUCUUUAGGUAAACUGAUUUGAUUCUUUAAUUGUAUCUCCAAAAUCCCUUUACAGCAGUACUUUUACUGAAUAAGGAAAAGAAGGUGUGUAUUGGCGCUGUGGCUCACGUCUGUAAUGCCAGCACUUUGGGAGGCCCAGGCAGGUGGAUCACUUUGAGCUCAGGAGUUCAAGACCAGCCUGAGCAACACUGUGAAACCCUGGCUCUACUAAAAGUACAAAAAUUAGCAGGGCAUGGUAGGGCGCCUGUAAUCCCAGCUACUCAGCAGGCUGAGGCUGGAGAAUGGCACGAUCCCAGGAGACAGAGGUUGCAGUGAGCUGAGAUCGUGCCACUGCACUCCAGCCUGGGCGACAGAGAGAGAAUCUGUCUCAAACGAACGAACAAACAAACAAACAAACAGAAGGUGUGUGUACACCAGAAGCAUGGAAAUUUGAGGCUGUCUUAAAAUUUUGCCUGCCACACAUAACAAUAGCCAUCAGCCACA
rnacentral:lncRNA from 1 species